UACGUAGGGGGCAAGCGUUGUCCGGAAUCAUUGGGCGUAAAGAGCGUGUAGGCGGCCCGGUAAGUCCGCUGUGAAAGUCGGGGGCUCAACCCUCGAAUGCCGGUGGAUACUGUCGGGCUAGAGUCCGGAAGAGGAGAAUGGAAUUCCUGGUGUAGCGGUGAAAUGCGCAGAUAUCAGGAAGAACACCCGUGGCGAAGGCGGUUCUCUGGGACGGUACUGACGCUGAGACGCGAAAGCGUGGGGAGCAAACAGG
rnacentral:rRNA from 1 species